UGGGGAAUAUUGCGCAAUGGGCGAAAGCCUGACGCAGCCACGCCGCGUGAGUGAUGAAGGCCUUCGGGUUGUAAAGCUCUGUCGGGAGGGAAGAAGGGGAAACCCUGACGGUACCUCGCAAGAAAGCACCGGCUAACUCUGUGCCAGCAGCCGCGGUAAUACAGAGGGUGCAAGCGUUGCUCGGAUUUACUGGGCGUAAAGCGUACGCAGACGGUUUGGUAGGUCGGGUGUGAAAGCCCAGGGCUCAACCCUGGAAAUGCACUCGAAACCACCUCACUUGAGUAUAGGAGAGGGAAGCGGAAUUCCUGGUGUAGAGGUGAAAUUCGUAGAUAUCAGGAGGAACACCGGUGGCGAAGGCGGCUUCCUGGCCUAUUACUGACGUUCAGGUACGAAAGCGUGGGUAGCAAACAGG
rnacentral:rRNA from 1 species